AUGUCCUUUUUUUUGCAUGACCCAGUUUUAGCAGCAUUCCCUCCAAGUGGAUUUACUGAUGUAUCUAGACACCUUCUUCAUUUCCCACAUCCUCCAGGUAAUGUCUGAUCACCCUGACCUGCCUGCAGCAAGAAUCCUUUUAGCCUUGUCUCUCCAGCCUCCUGCUUCCUGUCUCCCUCAAGGUGUGUUGCACUCAGGCAUGCUGAUAUUAUUUACCACAGAUACAGAAGCACAAAUUAGAUGGUCACUCAGGAUUUCCUCUUUUUGCCUUUUGGAGCCCAUGAAGGGGACAGAUCACUAUUCUCUCUGCUCACUGACAUCGGCACCCUCCACCAGAU